AAUGAACGCUGGCGGCAUGCCUAACACAUGCAAGUCGAACGAAGGCUUCGGCCUUAGUGGCGCACGGGUGCGUAACGCGUGGGAAUCUGCCCUUGGGUUCGGAAUAACAGUUAGAAAUGACUGCUAAUACCGGAUGAUGUCGUAAGACCAAAGAUUUAUCGCCCAAGGAUGAGCCCGCGUAGGAUUAGCUAGUUGGUGGGGUAAAGGCCUACCAAGGCGACGAUCCUUAGCUGGUCUGAGAGGAUGAUCAGCCACACUGGGACUGAGACACGGCCCAGACUCCUACGGGAGGCAGCAGUGGGGAAUAUUGGACAAUGGGCGAAAGCCUGAUCCAGCAAUGCCGCGUGAGUGAUGAAGGCUUUAGGGUUGUAAAGCUCUUUUACCCGGGAUGAUAAUGACAGUACCGGGAGAAUAAGCUCCGGCUAACUUCGUG
rnacentral:rRNA from 1 species